AAUUUUGCGCAAUGGGCGAAAGCCUGACGCAGCAACGCCGCGUGAAUGACGAAGCCCUUCGGGGUGUAAAGUUCUGUCAGUAGGGAAGAAUUUUGACUGUACCUACAAAGGAAGCACCGGCUAACUCCGUGCCAGCAGCCGCGGUAAUACGGAGGGUGCAAGCGUUGUCCGGAAUCAUUGGGCGUAAAGCGUUCGUAGGCGGCAUAUCAAGUCUGGUGUUAAAGCCCGGGGCUCAACUCCGGUUCGGCACUGGAUACUGAUAAGCUAGAAUGUGGUAGAGGUAAUGGGAAUUCCUGGUGUAGCGGUGAAAUGCGUAGAUAUCAGGAGGAACAUCGGUGGCGUAAGCGCAUUACUGGGCCAUUAUUGACGCUGAGGAACGAAAGCCGGGGGAGCAAAUGGG
rnacentral:rRNA from 1 species